GAUGAACGCUGGCGGCGCGCCUAACACAUGCAAGUCGAACGGUGAAGUCCCUUCGGGGACGGAUCAGUGGCGGACGGGUGAGUAACGCGUGAGUAACCUGCCCUUAUGAGUGGAAUAACGUCUGGAAACGGACGCUAAUACCGCAUAAUGCAUCGGGAAGACAUCUUCCUGACGCCAAAGAUUUAUCGCAUAAGGAUGGACUCGCGUCUGAUUAGAUAGUUGGUGGGGUAACGGCCUACCAAGUCGACGAUCAGUAGCCGGACUGAGAGGUUGAACGACCACAUUGGAACUGAGAAACGGUCCAG
rnacentral:rRNA from 1 species